rnacentral:rRNA from 1 species
AUAGAUACCCGGGUAGUCCACCCCGUAAACGUUGGGAACUAGUUGUGGGGUCCAUUCCACGGAUUCCGUGACGCAGCUAACGCAUUAAGUUCCCCGCCUGGGGAGUACGGCCGCAAGGCUAAAACUCAAAGGAAUUGACGGGGACCCGCACAAGCGGCGGAGCAUGCGGAUUAAUUCGAUGCAACGCGAAGAACCUUACCAAGGCUUGACAUACACGAGAACGCCGUAGAAAUACGGAACUCUUUGGACACUCGUGAACAGGUGGUGCAUGGUUGUCGUCAGCUCGUGUCGUGAGAUGUUGGGUUAAGUCCCGCAACGAGCGCAACCCUCGUUCUAUGUUGCCAGCACGUAAUGGUGGGAACUCAUGGGAUACUGCCGGGGUCAACUCGGAGGAAGGUGGGGAUGACGUCAAAUCAUCAUGCCCCUUAUGUCUUGGGCUUCACGCAUGCUACAAUGGCCGGUACAAAGGGCUGCAAUACCGUGAGGUGGAGCGAAUCCCAAAAAGCCGGUCCCAGUUCGGAUUGAGGUCUGCAACUCGACCUC